rnacentral:lncRNA from 1 species
UUUCAGAUGAUCCCCUGCUUGAGACAGCUAAGCUGUUUAUAUUUGGGUUAUACUUUUAGAGCGUUAUUUAUGUAUAUGUGUGGAUAUGCUCAUGGAUGUUCAUGUGUCUCUAGAGAUCAAAACAGGUGCCAGAUCCCCUGGGGUUGGGGUUACAUGUGGAUUGAGAGCUGCUGGGCAAUCAUGAACUAUGAAGAGGAUGCUACAGUGCUGUUUGCCUCAAGGACAAUUAGUACUUAUGUGGAAAAGCAGAGAUUGAAUACCAUCAGGAAUCUUAAAUGUGGUAUUAAAUAUUUUUCUUGUAAGUAUUCCUAACAUUUUUAUGAGUAUUUAAUACCCUUAACUGUAGAAUCUAGUGAUGAAAAGCUAGUGAUGAAUAGUAACAGCAGAUAGAUAAAGUAUUACUGAAGCUCCUUUGUUUGC